rnacentral:rRNA from 1 species
UCGAGAAUCUUCGGCAAUGGGCGCAAGCCUGACCGAGCGACGCCGCGUGCGGGAUGAAGGCCUUCGGGUUGUAAACCGCUGUCGAGGGGGAUAAAGUGCAGGUGGGUACUCCCAUUUGUUUGAUAGAUCCCUGGAGGAAGCAUGGGCUAAGUUCGUGCCAGCAGCCGCGGUAAGACGAACCAUGCAAACGUUAUUCGGAUUCACUGGGCUUAAAGCGUGCGUAGGCGGUCUUGUUAGUCAGGUGUGAAAGCCCUCAGCCCAACUGAGGAAUUGCGCUUGAUACUGCAUGACUUGAGAGAGAUAGAGGUGGGUGGAACUGAUGGUGGAGCGGUGAAAUGCGUUGAUAUCAUCAGGAACACCAGUGGCGAAGGCGACCCACUGGGUCUCUUCUGACGCUGAGGUACGAAAGCUAGGGUAGCGAACGG